CCCUGGUGAUAGCAUUUCCUCCAAAAAAAAAAAAAUCUUCUAAGCUAUUUUUUUCUUAUUCACUUCUCAGCAAAAAUAAAUCAAGAAAACAUAUAAUGGGUGUUAGUUUGCCUGGAGUUCUUGCUAAGCAAAUCUUCCGCCAGUCUUUAUUGCCUGCAAGAAAGGCAUCUUCAACUUCAUUAGAUGUUCCAAAAGGAUUCAUAGUAGUUUAUGUUGGGGAGGCCAAAAAGAAAAGAUUUUUGGUGCCCAUAUCCUACUUGAAUCAUCCUUCAUUUCAAGAUUUGCUUAGCCUGGCUGAAGAGGAGUUCGGUUUCGAUCAUCCAAUGGGUGGUUUGACAAUUCCCUGCAGAGAGGAUACUUUCAAUGCUGUCAUUUCCAAAUUGAGUAGAUCAUAAGAGAAGGCACUUGAAUUCUGGGAAAUGCCAAAUUCAAUUGUAAAUACGUGUAGUUUACAAGAUUAAACAAUUUUGCCUAAUGAGAAAAAUUAUUCGGUACAAAUUGCUACUUUCUUACUGCACACUCAAUUUUUGCAGUUCCUUUCUCUUGUCAAAACUAAUUCUCAUUGAAUCUGAUUAUCACAUCAUGAGUAAUUGACUGAUUUCUCUAGAAAUUAUCAAUUCAUUUGCAAAUAUAUCUUAGUCAAAUUAAACUUUCCAAGCAUGAACAUCCUCAUAUCUAA
rnacentral:misc_RNA from 1 species